UACGAAGGGGACUAGCGUUGUUCGGAAUCACUGGGCGUAAAGCGCACGUAGGCGGAUAUGUCAGUCAGGGGUGAAAUCCCGGGGCUUAACCUCGGAACUGCCUUUGAUACAGCAUAUCUUGAGUCCGAUAGAGGUGGGUGGAAUUCCUAGUGUAGAGGUGAAAAUUCGUAGAUAUUAGGAAGAACACCGGUGGCGAAGGCGGCCCACUGGAUCGGUACUGACGCUGAGGUGCGAAAGCGUGGGAGGCGAACAGG
rnacentral:rRNA from 1 species